UUUCAGUGACUUCAUUAGGCCUCCCUGAAAUAACUCUUGUAUCCUGGAAAGCCUUAGCUUCUUCUGUGAUGUCACAAGUGUCCUGACUGCAACCGCCUCUCAGAUAUCCCUUGAGGACCUCUAGGGUUCACUAAUUGGCCUUUAAUAUAUUGUAUACAGCCAUUUGAGAGGGAGAACACAGAGGAUGAAGUGAUCAGACAUGGGGAAUAUGAAGCUGGCCUUCUGUCUUGGGUAUGGACUGAAGAAACUGAAGGGGAGGGCAGCCUCUAUAGGAAGACCAACAGUCUCGAAUCAUCCCCACCCCUGAGAUCUCCCAGACACUAAGCCACCAACCAGGGUAUCUUUGAACUUGGGACAUCUUGCCACAUUCUAGGUGCUGAGACUACAUUCAGGCAAUUUCCAGCUUUCUUUCCUUUAUCUUAGUAAGAUGUGUUAGAUCAAAUAUGUUAAUAUUAUGCAGUAAAUCCUCCAUAUGUUUAUUUAUAGAACCUUGGCUCAGUGUCUGUUUCACUCCUCUGCAAUGACUAUAUUAAUUUUAGAGUUCACAGUUCUCUCUUUCUUUACACAAUUGAUCAGAUGUGUUUUUCUUUCAUAUAGAAUGAAUAAGAGCCUUUUAGUUUUUCUUUGAAUAGUUAAUGUACUAAGAAAAUGUGUUGAAAUUCCCAUUU